rnacentral:snRNA from 1 species
UUUUCACACAACAGAGCCGACUU